rnacentral:tRNA from 1 species
GGUUCGGUAGUUCAGUUGGUUAGAAUGCCGCCCUGUCACGGCGGAGGUCGCGGGUUCGAGUCCCGUCCGUACCGCAA